rnacentral:tRNA from 1 species
GGCCGUGUGCCCGAGUGGUUGAGGGGCGCGCCUGCACUGCAUCCAUCAGCGAGCUCCGCUCGCGGGGCGUUACGCGGGUUCGAUUCCCGCCACGGCCU